GGCGCUCGCGCGGGGUGGGGGCAUAGAAAAGUUGACACGGCGAGGAGAGCGAGCGAGCGAGCGAGCAGAAUAAGAACCGGGCCUAGCUGUAACAAGCAGCAUUGUCAUUUCCUUCGUGCUCAGGCAGGCCAGAAAACUCGUUGCUGUAUGAGCUCCACAGACUGAACGGAAAAUCCAGCCGCUUAAUACCAGCUUGGCCACAAGGACUACUCAGCGCUGCACUCUCUUGCGCUUGUGUUCCGGCCUGGUCGUUUCAGCUGCCUUGAGUUUUCGACAAGGAGGAAGGAGCCUGCGGGGGCCUCGCAGUUGCCGCCAUGGCGGCUUCAGAGAAUGAACUUGCGCGCAAGGGCAGCCCAAGAAAGAAACAGCUUCCGCUCCUCCCGCGACACUUUUUCAUGUAGAAGGUGGCAGAGAAUGAUUCAUCGCUUGCAUGCAAUAAUUAAAACAAAAGCCGGUGUCGGCGGAAAGAAA